rnacentral:tRNA from 1 species
CCGGCGUAGCACAGCGGUAGUGUAGCGGUUUUGUAAACCGAAGGUCGGCGGUUCAAAUAUGCUAAAAGUCGCGGAA